CCAACAUUGAGAUCUUCGAAAAAAGUUGACAACGAGUUGGCAACAGCAACAUAAUAACUUCCAAACAAAUCCGUCAAAUGUCACAGCUUACUGUCGCCACAUAGCGGUUCAAUACCUUUGAUCUCUAAUACUCGUACAAACAGAAUUACAUACUUACAAAUGUAUUCACCUAUGCUCGAACGAAAUCGCGAAGGUACACUUGUUCGUCAAUUACGAGAAGCGAGCGCAAGACCUUUACUCGAAUAUAAAUAUAAACGGAAAAGAGGCAGAAAAAAUAAACGAGAAUAUCAAGAACACCGUAAUUGCUUACGAUCGUCGGCAACAUUUCAACUUGUUUUAAUGUAAUUUAUUAAACGACUCAAUAAGAUGAAAUAUAUGCUGGCAAUAAAAAUUGAUAUAAUACUUGAAAUACGUCAACUUCCCUACUUCAUUUGAUACGCUUGUAGGUGCUUAAGCUCAUUUAGAACUUCCUGCUUGCCGCCGGGCUUUGUCCUUGCAACCCAACUGCUGCUGCCACUCCACUCAGCCUGGUCACUCGUUUUUCAAUUUCAACUCAAAGCCACGACUGCCGGUUCUUUGUGCUUUUCUUGAACGCUUUGUGACAUUUUUUCUUACGACAAUUUGAUUCCGUUUGUUUUUCUGCUCUGUGCUCUCAUUUGCGGACGGCGCUUCGCUUUGCUGUGAUCAUUAAAUGUUUCAUUUGUCUCAAUAAAUUCUUUGCUAAUAAAGUAGGUUGAUAUAUUCUGUUGCUUUUGAUCGCGUGCGACAGUUAGUUUGCACGAGAUCACGAGAUUACUACCCUGAUUGAACUUUUCCAUAUUAGCUGUGAUAUGUACAUAUGUAAUUUAUGUAGGAAUGUGAGGUAUAAAUUUAUUCAGAAUUUAUUUAUGAUUGAAAAUGUUUUCAAUACGAAACUAUAAAAUUCUUUAAAAUAAAAUUGCUUCUCGAAACAAACAUUCGACUUUGAGGGUAUUUAAUAAUUUAGCCACUUUACUAACAUACAGUUUACAGUUCACAACAAAUUUCUUGCAAUUUUGGUACAAAAAUUGCAUAAAGUUGUGAGAAGAUCCCGGAGGUCUUUCUAACGUGAGAGGAUGCCACUAAAUGCGUUCAUUUUAUGGAAACGUGUUCCUUAUUACCCUGAGGUUAAGAUCCGAAUGAAGCGACUCUCUCCUUAAGCUGCAGCUUAGAUUGACUAUUACACCGACGAUGCAAACAGGGCAGAAAGUAUUGGCACAUAGUCGUGAGUGCACAUAUUGGGGCAAAUUUCUUCUGUUAAUGUAUUUGCAAUUUAUCUCUACAGCGACACGAUUUAUUAAGUUUGAUGUAAACAAAAGCCAAACAACAUCGCACCUUGGGAAAAUAAAUAGUCCUUCAGUAGGUUUAAUUGUGGCAUUGUAUAUAGGUAACUGCAGACUCUGGAACUAUUCUCCUCAGAAAACUAUUGAUACUGCGGCAAAAAAAACAGUGAAGAAUGAAGACCACAAUAGACCAUGGAUUGCGGUGUAAACCCCAGUUUCCAUAUAUUAUAUUUUAAGCCAUGUACUCUAAAGAUGCCAUUUAUUUUAUUCACUAUAUAAGUUCCUGAAUAGUUUUUAUACAAAUUUGAUUCUAAAACUUCCUAUAUUCGCUAACCAAAUAAUAUUCCUAUAUAUCUCACUUAUUAAUCGUAUAUUCGUAUACGGUACGAAGUCAUCGUAGAUUCUUAACUUUUACAUAUACAAAGUUACAAAUAUUUCAAUAAAAGAAAAAGUGUGCAACUUGUUUCAUUUUUACAAAGAGCGUAUAUAAAA